rnacentral:pre_miRNA from 1 species
CCUUAUCACUUUUCCAGCCCAGCUAUCAAUUGAAAAAUGUGUUGGACGGAGAACUGAUAAGGGC